rnacentral:lncRNA from 1 species
AAGCAUUUGUAUACUUCAUUUUUAAGGAGAUAAUUUGGCCCUGCUCAGUCAUGAUCCUGGUCUGUUGAUUUAAUAUUUUUGCUUAGUUUUCAUGUUUUAGUUUGUGACUAGGUCAGUUUAUGGAGAACCACUAGUAGUAAGUUAAUGAUAAUUGGUAUGCAGUUGAAUAAGCAUUGGCAUAUCUCAUUUCAAAAGAGAUUUGUUUGCCUCGCCUC